rnacentral:tRNA from 2 species
GCAUUGGUGGUUCAGUGGUAGAAUUCUCGCCUGCCACGUGGGAGACCCGGAUUCGAUUCCCGGCCAAUGCA